UACGGAGGUGGCAAGCGUUGCUCGGAAUCACUGGGCGUAAAGGGCGCGUAGGCGGGGAGGUAAGUCGGGUGUGAAAUCCCUCGGCCCAACUGAGGAACUGCGCCCGAGACUGCUUCUCUUGAGUCCCGGAGAGGAAGGUGGAAUUCCCGGUGUAGCGGUGAAAUGUGUAGAGAUCGGGAGGAACACCGGUGGCGAAGGCGGCCUUCUGGACGGUGACUGACGCUGAGGCGCGAAAGCGUGGGGAGCAAACGGG
rnacentral:rRNA from 1 species